rnacentral:lncRNA from 1 species
ACAUAUUUAGAUCAACAAUUCUGAGUAGACAAUUUGGUAACCUCAGGUUCCACAAAUGACUAAACUUUCUCAUUUAGUCAAUUUAUUGUACUACUACAAGAACAACAACAACAACAACAACAAAUCUAGUAUAGUCCCACAUAGUGGUCUGGGUAGGUUAGUGUGUACGCAACCUUGCCCCUACAUUGUUGAGAUAGAGAGGUUGUUUCCAAUAGACCCUCGGCUCAGGGCGUUCAUUUACAUAGUAAAUGAGUAAUCUCCAUCUCUAGAAGUUCACUUUCGUGUACUCUUGGCAACCUGCAUAAAAGUCAAGUAACUAUAGUCUGUUAUUAACUUAAUUAUAAGGGUACUUUUAAAUAUUUAUGGCAUUGAAAUCCAACAAAGGAAACCUCAUACCAGACUAAUAAGAAAAAAAUUUGAGUUUUGUCAAGAAACAUAUGUUCCAUAAUGGCAUAAUAGACACAAGACUCAGAAUUAACUAACAUUUGCUAUACUAGUUCAUUUCUUUAUUAUACUCGUCGUAUUCAGGUUCAUUCUGAUGCUGAGAAGAUAGAGGAGCGUAUAGUAGAGACGACAAUACUGCUACAUUACCUCGGCAUUGGUUUUGGUAACCUCACAGCAACAAUUGAGAAUAUUCCCCCUGGAGCCAUUGAGUCAGAGGACGAAGCAGCAGAGAUUAUCGCGAAAGCAACGUCUAAUUGCUGCGGAAAAUUAUGUGGUAUCUGUUGCUGUUGUGGUUGCUGUAUUAGGACAUGUUCAAAGAUGAAUCAUCAGUGUGCAAUUGCACUCUCACAAUUGCUAGGUGCAUUGGGAUGUUUAGGUUGCUUUGCUUGUUGUCAAUAUUGCUGCUGUGGAAAUGAUAAGUGAGAAGAAAUUACAAACUUAACUUACCACAAGAUUUUGUUGUCAAAUAUGACAGAUUAUACAAUUAGAUGAUAGUGAACAUUUUUCAUGGGUUUUUUUCCUGUCAAUACUGCUUCUGUGGAAAUGAUAAGUGAGAAGAAAUUAUAAGCCUUAAAUUCCACAAGAUUUUGUUGUAUGUUGUGUCAAAAAUGAGAGAGUAUACAAUUAGAUGAUAGUGAACAUGUUUCAUGUGUUUUUUCUCUCCAUAUUUUUUCAUC